UGGCUCAGGAAUUCUGGGAGUUGAAGUCCACAGGUCUCGUAAAAGUUAUCAAGUUUGGGGACCCCGAUCUAACCCCACAAAAUGGUCUGUGAGCUUCCUGCAGCUGGUCUCUUUGCAUUACUGUACUAGCAAACCCAAUAAAAGCCUGAUACAAACCG